UCUGGUUGAUCCUGCCUGAACUGAUGUGUUCAUUUCAAAGAUUAAGCCAUGCAUGUAUAAGUUUAAUCGUUUUAACGAGAAACCGCGAACGGCUCAUUACAAUGGCCAUGAUUUACUUGAUCUUGAUUAUCUAAAUGGAUAACUGUGGAAAAGCUAGAGCUAAUACAUGCACCAAAGCUUUGUCCUCUCGGAAAAGCGCAUUUAUUAGAACAAAACCACGCGGCUUCGGCUGCUUCUUGUUGACUCAGAAUAACUAAGCUGACCGCAUGGCCUUGUGCCGGCGGCGUGUCUUUCAAGCGUCCACUUUAUCAACUUGACGGGAGCAUAAUCGACUCCCGUGGUGGUGACGGAUAACGGAGGAUCAGGGUUCGACUCCGGAGAAGGGGCCUGAGAAAUGGCCACUACGUCUAAGGAUGGCAGCAGGCGCGCAAAUUACCCACUCUCGGCUCGAGGAGGUAGUGACGAGAAAUAACGAGAUCGUUCUCUUUGAGGCCGGUCAUCGGAAUGGGUACAAUUUAAACCCUUUAACGAGUAUCAAGCAGAGGGCAAGUCUGGUGCCAGCAGCCUGGAACCCUCCGGGUGUUUCUGGGUGUUAUCGAUUUAUCGUAAUGUUCGGUUUUGAGUCCUUAACAGGAUUCUUAACAGGCAUUGCAAGUUUACUUUGAACAAAUCAGAGUGCUUCAAACAGGCGUUCUCGCUUGAAUGAUCGUGCAUGGAAUAAUAGAAAACGAUUUCGGUUCAGUUUUAUUGGUUUUACGGACUGAGAUAAUGGUUAACAGAGACAAACGGGGGCAUUUGUAUGGCCCCGUGAGAGGUGAAAUUCUUGGACCGUGGCCAGACAAACUACAGCGAAAGCAUUUGCCAAGAAUGUCUUCAUUAAUCAAGAACGAAAGUCAGAGGUUCGAAGGCGAUCAGAUACCGCCCUAGUUCUGACCGUAAACGAUGCCAACUAGCGAUCCGCCGAUGGAAAUUAUAUUGCCUUGGUGGGGAGCUUCCCGGAAACGAAAGUCUUCCGGUUCCGGGGGAAGUAUGGUUGCAAAGCUGAAACUUAAAGGAAUUGACGGAAGGGCACCACCAGGAGUGGAGCCUGCGGCUUAAUUUGACUCAACACGGGGAAACUCACCCGGCCCGGACACUGUGAGGAUUGACAGAUUGAUAGCUUUUUCAUGAUUCAGUGGAUGGUGGUGCAUGGCCGUUCUUAGUUCGUGGAGUGAUUUGUCUGGUUUAUUCCGAUAACGAGCGAGACUCUAACCUACUAAAUAGCUGGUACAUACUCUUAGUGUAUACAGCUUCUUAGAGGGAUUUGCGGUGUUCAGCCGAAAGAAAUUGAGCAAUAACAGGUCUGUGAUGCCCUUAGAUGUCCGGGGCUGCACGCGCGCUACACUGGCAAAAUCAACGUGCUUGUCCUACCUCGAAAGGGGCGGGUAAACCAUUGAAAAUUUGCCGUGAUUGGGAUCGGAAAUUGCAAUUAUUUUCCGUGAACGAGGAAUUCCAAGUAAGUGCGAGUCAUCAGCUCGCGUUGAUUACGUCCCUGCCCUUUGUACACACCGCCCGUCGCUGCCCGGGACUGAGCCAUUUCGAGAAAUUUGGGGACCGUUGAUUUAAUUUUUCUAAAUUACUUUGAUGGAAACCAAUUUAAUCGCAGUGGCUUGAACCGGGCAAAAGUCGUAACAAGGUAGCUGUAGGUGAACCUGCUGCUG
rnacentral:rRNA from 1 species